GCUGCAUCACGCGCGAUUUGGCCUCCGCCGACGGACUGAGCUUCAUAUGGAAGGAUGCGAGCGGGAGCGCGCUGACUGACGUCGUGCAAUACCGGAGGGUACACCUCGGUGAGCCAUAUGCGCAUCAUGGCUUCUGACUGGAACGGGAACAAGAAGUUCACGUACGAAAUCAAAAAUGGCCUAGGAUCUAAAGACGCGUCCUUGCAAAAGCCAGGUGUGUUUCACUCCAUCUCAGAGAUGCAGAUGACUUAGACUGCUUCUUUUGGAAGAUUUUACCUUUGGCCUGCUUGUUGCCUAACGCUCCCAUCUGCUGUUUGCUGUGCUCACUGAAGCCUGUCCUGCACUCCUUCCUCUAGCGACACCACAAAACACCAAAAACUGUGGAAAAAAAAAAAAACCAUGCACGCACACACACACUCUUCAUAUCAGAUCUGAGCCCAACAUCACCAUGAGCACCAGUACAAUGGACAACGACGUUAAUCUGCUUUGUUGGUUGGAUGGUUUUUCUCCGAAAAAAAUAAGUGUUGAGUGGUACAAGGGUAAUACGUUGCACACAGAGAAAGCAACCAUGAAGAUAUUCGAAAGUCUCAACAAUGGAGAAAGGACGUUUGAUGCACUGAGCCAACUCAGCAUUAAUUCAGAGCAAUGGAAUGAGGGCACAGAGUUCACCUGUAAAGCCACACACAACUCCAAGAUCUUCAGUCAAACGUGGAGCAAGUGCAAAGCUGAACCAACAUCCAAACCACUGAUACGUCUGGAGAAACCUGCACUCAUGUCAGUAUUGACAGAUUCAGAAGUAACAGCUUUCUGUGUUGUUGAAACUGUGCUCAAUACCAGAGUGUCAUGGUUUGUAGAUGGAAGGGAAAAAACGAACAGAGUCACCUUGAAGACACUGGACGGGAGAACUGUUAGCAACCUGACUAUCUCUACAAACGAAUGGAAAAACUGGCAGACAAUAAAAUGCACAGCUAAACAUCCAUGUUUUGACAUAGUAGAGAAGACAAUUAAUAUUCUAGAACCUGUGCAGAAAACUCCUACAGUGGUGAUCAGGAGGAAUCUGGCAGACAUACUGAAGGGAGACAGUGCAGUACUGGAGUGUGCUGCAAGAGAUCUGCCCUCUGGUGAGCUCUCGGUCAUCUUACAGGCCAAUGGAAUAAGGGUCCUUGAACCUCAGUAUGUGGAUCUGCCCAAAGGAGUGGACACUCUGACUGUACGCUUCACUGUUCCCACAACACACAGAAACAAAAACCAACGGUUCACCUGUCAGAUUCAGCAAAGCCGUUCCAAACAGUGGACGUCCAAUUCUAUAGAAAACCUUUUUGGUGGCCAUAUUGGUAGACUCGGGCGUGAACAGAACUUGGCUGUGCGUGUCAGCAGACUCGGGCUUUGGCUGAACUUGGGCGGUCGUGUCGGCAGACUCCGGCGUGGGCUGAACUUGGGCAACCGGGUCGGCAGACUCGGGCGUGGGCUGAACUUGGUCAGCAGGUUUGGACAUGAGCAUGACUUGGUCAGCAGGCUUGGACAUGAGCAUGACUUGGUCAACCGGGUCAGCAGGCUUCAACGUGAACAGAACUUGGUUAACAGGCUUGGGUGUGCGCCGAGCUUGGUUGUCCGUGUUAUCAACUUGGUAGCUCAUCCGCUCAUAAUGCAUGGGGAAUGGAAGAUCAGCACUGUUCGCCACAUUAACUCCCUUGAACAGCUCAUCCAAGUUGUAGCUCUGCCCUGGUUCUCCAAACUCCCUCAGAAACAGGUCCGAAAACUGCCUACUGUCCUCCAGUACCCGGGGUCUCAUGGCUGCUACUCGCUGUGCCCAAUUGUGAGCUGGGCCAAAAAAUCUGGACAUCAUGAACUUAAUCCACUGUCUCUCCUUUGGCUUCGGGUCAAACAGGCUUGAGAAGUAACUCUGGCAGUCUAUCAUAAAAUAGUCCAGAUAACCAAAGAAGCCAUCAUACCGAUCGGGAAGGUCUAUGAAAGUCCAUUGUGAAAACUGCACAGAAUCCAAGGCGGGGAUGAUUGGCGCGGACCUCCGGGUUCUGCGUCCUCUUCGUCCUCGUGCUACAUUCAUGAUGGGCGGAAUAUUCUGUCAUGUAUCGUGACGUAACAGAUAAGGUAGGAUGCAAUCGCAGUAUGAACGGUUUUAUUUAAGAGAGUGACAGGCAGACAAAUCCAAAACGUGAUCCACAAACGUAAUCCAGUAACAUGCAAAGUUCAGGCGAUCGGCAAACAGGAAUAAAGGGGCGAGGCAGGAAUCAAGGUCACGGUCACGGAAAUACAGGAUCGAGAAACAAAACAAGAAACAUGAACUGUAGCGCGG